CGCGGAGCUAGGUGCCAGCGGCCGGCGUAGUGCGUAUGUCCCGUGCGUUGGCCUGUGUUAUGGGGGUUAAAUCCAGGUGAGUUGGUUACAUAAGUCUGAAGUAAAAGGCAGUGGCUCAACCAUUGUAUGCUUUGGAAACUGUGUAACUUGAGUGCAGAAGGGGAGAGUGGAAUUCCAUGUGUAGCGGUGAAAUGCGUAGAUAUAUGGAGGAACACCGGUGGCGAAAGCGGCUCUCUGGUCUGUAACUGACACUGAGGCUCGAAAGCGUGGGGAGCAAACAGGAUUAGAUACCCCGGUAGUC
rnacentral:rRNA from 1 species